AGUUUGAUCCUGGCUCAGAAUCAACGCUGGCGGCGUGCCUCAGACAUGCAGGUCGAACGGUUAAGACUCCCUUCGGGGAGUGUAUAAAGUGGCGCACGGGUGAGUAACACGUGGGUAAUCUACCUCCGGGUGGGGGAUAACCUGCCGAAAGGUGGGCUAAUACCGCAUAAUGCAGCGGCACCGAAUGGUGACAGUUGUUAAAGGAGCAAUCCGCCUGGAGAGGAGCCUGCGGCCGAUUAGCUAGUUGGUAGGGUAAUGGCCUACCAAGGCGACGAUCGGUAGCCGGCCUGAGAGGGCGGUCGGCCACACUGGCACUGAAACACGGGCCAGACUCCUACGGGAGGCAGCAGUCGGGAAUUUUGGGCAAUGGGCGAAAGCCUGACCCAGCAACGCCGCGUGAGGGAUGAAGUCCUUCGGGAUGUAAACCUCGUAAGCAUGGGAAGAAUAAAUGACGGUACCAUGCGUAAGCCCCGGCUAACUACGUGCCAGCAGCCGCGGUAAUACGUAGGGGGCAAGCGUUGUUCGGAUUUACUGGGCGUAAAGCGCGUGUAGGCGGUGCGUUAAGUCAGCCGUGAAAGCCCUAAGCUUAACUUAGGAAAGCCGGUUGAUACUGACGCACUAGAGUGUAGAAGAGGCAACUGGAAUUCUCGGUGUAGCGGUGAAAUGCGUAGAUAUCGAGAGGAACACCGGUGGCGAAGGCGAGUUGCUGGUCUAACACUGACGCUGAGACGCGAAAGCUAGGGGAGCAAACAGGAUUAGAUACCCUGGUAGUCCUAGCCCUAAACGAUGUAUGCUUGGUGUUCGGAGUUUUAUCCUCCGAGUGCCGCAGCUAACGCGUUAAGCAUACCGCCUGGGGAGUACGGUCGCAAGACUGAAACUCAAAGGAAUUGACGGGGACCCGCACAAGCGGUGGAGCAUGUGGUUUAAUUCGACGCACGCGAGA
rnacentral:rRNA from 1 species